rnacentral:rRNA from 1 species
UUGCACGCUGGCGGCAUGCUUUACCCCUGCAAGUCGAACGGCAGCGCGAGCUUCGGCCUGGCGGCGAGUGGCGAACGGGUGAGUAAUGCAUCGGAACGUGCCCAGUAGUGGGGGAUAGCCCGGCGAAAGCCGGAUUAAUACCGCAUACGACCUGAGGGUGAAAGCGGGGGACCGAAAGGCCUCGCGCUAUUGGAGCGGCCGAUGUCGGAUUAGCUAGUUGGUGGGGUAAAGGCUUACCAAGGCGACGAUCCGUAGCUGGUCUGAGAGGACGACCAGCCACACUGGGACUGAGACACGGCCCAGACUCCUACGGGAGGCAGCAGUGGGGAAUUUUGGACAAUGGGGGCAACCCUGAUCCAGCCAUGCCGCGUGCGGGAAGAAGGCCUUCGGGUUGUAAACCGCUUUUGUUCGGGAAGAAAUCCUCUGGGCUAAUACCCCGGGGGGAUGACGGUACCGGAAGAAUAAGCACCGGCUAACUACGUG